UACGUAGGGUGCGAGCGUUGUCCGGAAUUAUUGGGCGUAAAGGGCUCGUAGGCGGCUUGUCGCGUCGUCCGUGAAAACUUGGGGCUCAACCCCAAGCUUGCGGUCGAUACGGGCAGGCUAGAGUUCGGUAGGGGAGACUGGAAUUCCUGGUGUAGCGGUGAAAUGCGCAGAUAUCAGGAGGAACACCGGUGGCGAAGGCGGGUCUCUGGGCCGAUACUGACGCUGAGGAGCGAAAGCGUGGGGAGCGAACAGG
rnacentral:rRNA from 1 species